GUGGGGAAUCUUCCGCAAUGGACGAAAGUCUGACGGAGCAACGCCGCGUGAGUGAUGAAGGUCUUCGGAUUGUAAAGCUCUGUUAAUCGGGACGAAAGAGCCUAGUGUGAAUAAUGCUAGGAAGUGACGGUACCGGAAUAGAAAGCCACGGCUAACUACGUGCCAGCAGCCGCGGUAAUACGUAGGUGGCAAGCGUUGUCCGGAAUUAUUGGGCGUAAAGCGCGCGCAGGCGGAUCUGCCAGUCUGUCUUAAAAGUUCGGGGCUUAACCCCGUGAUGGGAUGGAAACUACAGAUCUAGAGUAUAGGAGAGGAAAGUGGAAUUCCUAGUGUAGCGGUGAAAUGCGUAGAUAUUAGGAAGAACACCAGUGGCGAAGGCGACUUUCUGGACGAAAACUGACGCUGAGGCGCGAAAGCCAGGGGAGCGAACGGGAUUAGAUACCCGUGUAGUCC
rnacentral:rRNA from 1 species